AGAGCAGUGAUUGGUCAGACCAUAGAUAAUAUAGAAGACAGCGCGCUAGCGUAUCUAGCCUGUGUAUAUCUAUGGUCGGCACGUCUGGUAGCAUCUGUGGCUGCUGUUGAUCUUGUUUUUGGAGUAAAACACGGUGGAAGCUGAAUUAGUGAGGAUGACUCCUGCUCCUGUCAUCUCUAAGCUCCUCACACAUCUUUACCUGCACAUGAGGAAAAUCACUCCUGUAGAAUGCAGAUGUUCAGAGGGAGAUGAUGCCACAUCUGGUCCAGCUGAUGGAAGGUCUUGAAGUUCUCUGACUGGCCUCGACUGAAGAUGGUCGUCUCACUGGAUUUAAGGUUCAGAUGCUCAGUAACAAACUCCACCAAUGAGCCAACAGGGAAGCUUUAGGUUUAUUAAAUGUUGCUAUGAAGGUUUCGCUGUUUUUCUUUGUGAAUGCAAUGUGCUCCAACUGAAACUUGAAUUAGAACUUAGAAGUAAAUCCUUCCAUCUGAAAGGAUCUAGUUACAUUAAUAACCUCAUAACAUUCUAAUUUUUAUUCCAGUCUUGGUUGAAAAUAGAAUCUCUGUACUGAUUCAGGUAAAAACUGAACUUCACAGCAUGUUGGAGCAAAACAACCAGAUGAAAACUGUGAUGGUGUUGGAUUGUCAGACCGUAAUGUUGCAGCUCAAAGCAGCUUUUCUAGCUCAGUUCAUUCUGACAUUCAGCUAUGAAUCAACACAGCAGAUGGUGAUCCAUGCUGUGGAAGUCUCACAUCUCCUGAUUUAAUGCAGCUGCUUUGCACUUUUUACACUGUUUAUUCACCAACACUUUAUUUAAUAAAAGUCCCAUCUAGUUUUUA